GUUCUGGUUCUACGUAUGAGCUCACCAUAGAGACUGGAGUUACCAACAAUAGAAAGGAUCGUGUCCAUGACAACCAGAAAAACUCAAAGCAGUGGCUGAUUUUAACCAUCUGGUUCUAAUCUUGUUCUGUAUAUUUCUCUUUUCCUCAUGGGUUUUGCUUACUGCUUCAUUAAAGUGCUGUCACACUGCUACACAGAGAGGCAGACAAGAAAGUGUCCAUGCUGUCUGUAGGGAGAGGUGGCAUAAGUAUCUGUAUAUAGCAGCAGAUGUGAUAUGCACAGUUGAGAGCAGAGGUGACAAUUUCCCACUAAAGAUAUCAGAAAAGCUUCCUGGAUUCUUCAUUUGCACUCGACCUUCAGGAUGCAUCUACCUCCCACCAAGAGAUCCUCCCCCUGGCAACCACCAUUCUCCUCUCUUCCUUGACCCAACGUUUUGAGAUUCCACAUAUGAAAGCUGCUCAGUUGGAUGUGAUCCUGAAAAUUUUCAAAGACCAAGCAACCAAGAAAUGCCAGUUCUUUUGGCUCCAGGAGUGAAUUCCUUCUUUUCUCACACUAAUUAGACUCAGGCUACAAAAAUCUCUAUUCUGAAAUUGCUGAUGACAGCACAGGAGAAAUCUGCUACUCAGGCUCUCUCAGGAAUUUCAAAACAUGUUUCCAAGUUAAAUAUCACUGAAUAUAAUCCAGCCACCAUUAAAAUAUUAACAGUAUUAGUUCACUGGAUCAAUAUUUAGAAAUUUCUGAUCAUUCACAUGCUAAUAAAUAGAAGGAUAAAUAAAAUAAUAUUUGGUAAAAUCAAUAUCCAUUCUUAGGUUUAUUUAAUCUUUAGUAAAAUGGUGAAGAUUGAUAUUUUCCCCAAUAUGGCCCACAGCACCUUGAUUAAUGGUGCUGCCCUAGAAGCAGCCCCAUUAGAGGCAAGAACAAGAAAGGGUGACCAUUAGCACUUGAUUCAUCUGGCUCUGGAAGCCUCACUCAAUCCAGUUAGGGUUAGAACAUAGCAAACACAGUACACAAAUGAAGAGGCCUCAUUAUCAUCAUUUGUGAGGCUGUGAUUGUAUCCCUGAUUUGAAAGAAUCAACUAGAAACAUUUUUAGAAGCAAAGUAAGAGAUGGGAAAGGGAUCUAGAAAUGGAGGGAGAGGACGAGGGAAGGGGAAAGGGUAAGUAAAAACAGGAUUAAGAUGAAAUAUGUACAGGUACCAAACCCCCACAAUGAAUGCAUUCAUUGUGUAUCACAAACAUAUACUAAGAAAAAACUUUUUUAAAAAGAUAACAAUUUAUGAAAUUAACAUAAAACUUAAGAAGAAAUUAACAUGAAAAUAAGGCUUUUUUAUAAUCAAAGAGAAAC
rnacentral:lncRNA from 1 species